ACGAUCGCUGCUAGACUUCCGACCACCCCGACUGCGCCACUUCACUCCUAUUUCAAAUCCCACUCGCCCGCACCCAAUUCGGAAGCGAAGCUUCCUUGCCCCCAUCCCCUCGCCACCACCGCCUCCGCUCUCUCUUCUUGAUUUCGGAGAAAGGGGAAGAAAAUUACAAACGAUAGAUAAAGAGAAAGGGAUAGGGCACAGAAAGAGAAAGAAAGAUGAUGCAAAUUCUUCGAUUCCGAGGGGGCUCGGCCGCCUCCUCGUCCUCGUCGCCAGCCAAGGGCCGGGAUGCGCCUCCGAUAUCCGAUACCCGGAACCCUAGCCCUGUCCCUAGCCGUAGCCCGGGUACUUCUUCUUCUCCUGUUUCUUCCAUCACCCCGGGAUCCGUGGGCCCGGCGAGGCCGCUGCGGCUGGUGUACUGCGACGAGAAGGGCAAGUUUCGGAUGGAUCCCGAGGCCGUCGCCACCCUCCAUCUCGUCAAAGGCCCCAUCGGCAUCGUCUCCGUCUGUGGCCGCGCUCGCCAGGGCAAGAGCUUCAUCCUCAACCAGCUGUUAGGUAGGAGCAGUGGAUUUCAGGUGGCUUCCACUCACCGACCAUGCACUAAGGGGCUUUGGAUGUGGAGUGCCCCAAUAAAGCGAACUGCUCUUGAUGGAAGUGAAUACAAUCUUUUGUUGCUGGAUAGUGAAGGAAUUGAUGCCUAUGAUCAAACGGGAACUUACAGCACCCAGAUAUUUUCCCUUGCUGUUCUGUUAUCAAGCAUGUUUAUUUAUAACCAGAUGGGUGGUAUAGAUGAAGCUGCACUUGAUCGUCUUUCUCUGGUUACAGAAAUGACUAAGCAUAUUCGUGUUAGGGCGACUGGAGGAAGGUCUGCAACAGCUGAGCUUGGGCAAUUUUCACCAGUCUUUAUCUGGCUGCUGAGGGACUUCUACUUAGAUUUGGUUGAGGAUAACAGAAGAAUUACUCCACGUGAUUACCUAGAGUUAGCUUUGAGACCCAUGCAAGGUGGAGGGAAAGAUUUAUCUGCGAGGAAUGAGAUUCGGGAGUCCAUUCGAUCUCUUUUCCCUGAUAGGGAAUGUUUCACACUUGUGCGGCCAUUGAAUGAUGAAAACGAUCUCCAACGCCUUGAUCAAAUCCCCCUAAACAGAUUAAGGCCAGAAUUUAGAUCAGGUUUGGAUGCAUUGACAAAGUUUGUUCUCGAGCGAACUAGACCUAAACAAAUAGGGUCUACUGUUAUGACUGGUCCAAUUGUUGCUGGUGUCACACAGUCAUUCUUGGAUGCCAUCAACAAUGGAGCCGUGCCUACAAUAUCCUCCUCAUGGCAGUGUGUCGAAGAAGCGGAAUGUCGUAGGGCAUAUGAUUCUGCUGUUGAGGUUUACAUGUCAUCUUUUGAUCGCACAAAGCCAGCUGAGGAGGCUUUCUUAAGAGAAGCGCAUGAAGAUGCUGUUCAAAAAUCACUGGCUGUAUUUAAGGAAACUGCCGUGGGAUCUGGCUCAGCACGUAUGAACUAUGAAAAGCUACUUCACAACUUCUUCAGAAAGGCAUAUGAAGGCUACAAAAGGAAUGCCUUUUUGGAGGCUGAUUUGCAAUGUUCGAACACCAUACAGAGCAUGGAAAAGAAGCUACGAGCAGCUUGUCAUGUUCCAAAUGUGAAACUUGAUAGUGUGAUUCAGGUUCUGGAAGAUCUGCUUUCUGAGUUCGAGUCAUCUUCUCAUGGUCCAGGCAAAUGGAAAAUGUUGGCUGCCUUUUUACGACAGUGUUUGGAGGGGCCCAUACUGGACCUCUUUAAAAAGCAAUUAGAUCAAACUGAAUCUGAACGGAGUGCUCUCACAUUGAAAUGCCGGUCAAAUGAAGACAAACUGGGGCUGCUUAAGAAGCAGCUUGAGGCAAAUGAAAAGCAUAGAGCUGAAUAUUUGAAGCGAUAUGAGGAAGCUAUCAGUGAUAAGCAAAAAUUUUCUGAGGAGUACAACAGUCGUAUUGCAAAUUUGCUGAGCAAAUGCAGCACAUUGGAGGAGCGUUGUAUGAGUAUCGAAAAAGCUCUUGAUCUUGCAAGACAGGAAUCCACUGAUUGGAAAAUUAAGUAUGACGAAAGCAGUUUAGAGCUGAAGGCCGAGGAAGAUAGGUUUAAAGCUAAAUUUUCAGCUCUGGAGUCAAGGUUAAGUGCUGCUGAAGGAAGACUGGCUGCUGCUCGUGAACAGGCAGAAUCUGCUCAGGAAGAGGCAUCAGAGUGGAAGCGGAAGUAUGCUGUUGCUGCUGGAGAAGCCAAAACAGCCUUGGAGAGAGCAGCAUUAGUGCAGGAGCGCACUAAUAAAAAAGCACAAGAAAGGGAAGAUGCAGUAAGGGCAGAAUUCUCUGCCCAGUUGGUGGAAAAGGGAGAGGAAAUCAAGAACUUAAAUGCAAAGCUUGAUUCUUCUGAGAACCAUGCAAGUACUUUGGUUUCACGCCUGGAGGCUGCUCAGACAAAGCUGGAGAAUCACGAGUUGGAAACUUUGGCCCUGAAGGAUGAAGUAAAGAAGUUAAAUUCAAACUUAGAUUCUGUGAAAGCUAAAGUUCAGCCCUAUGAGAGGGAAGCCAAAAUACUGGAACAAGAAAAGAACCAUCUCCAAGAAAGGUACAUUGCUGAGUGCAAGAAAUUUGAUGAUGCAGAAGAGAGGCUCAAGGUCGCUGAAAGGGAUGCAAAGAGAGCUACUGAGUUGGCUGAUACUGCUCGGGCAGAAGUAGUUGCUGCUCAGAAGGAGAAGAGUGAAAUGCAGCACUUGGCAAUGGAAAGACUAGCAAUAAUUGAAAGAGUUGAACGGCAAGUUGAUAGAAUGGAGCAAGAGAAAGUGAAGCUGAUGGAUGAAGUAGAGAGGUUGCGUCAAUCUGAAAUGGAUGCCGUGUCCAAGGUUACACUACUUGAGAGGAGAGUUGGUGAGAGAGAGAGAGAGAUUGAGGAUCUAUUGAGUCGGAGCAAUGAACAAAGGUCCAACACAGUCCAAGUCCUUGAGAGUCUUCUGGCAACAGAACGUUCAGCUCGAACUGAGGCCAACAGCAGAGCAGAGGCCUUGUCCUUGCAGCUACAAGCUACUCAAGGCAGACUAGAUGCACUCCAUCAGGAACUGACAUCUGUUCGUCUAAAUGAGACCGCACUUGAUAGUAAGCUUAGGACUGCUUCUCAUGGGAAACGGUUAAGAGUAGAUAAUUAUCCGGGCACAGGAUCUGUCCAAGAUAUGGAGGUUGAUGAGGGGUUGGUGAGGGGUAGAAAGAGAUCCAAGAGUACUACAAGCCCCUUAAAGAAUACUCAGACAGAAGAUGGUGGUUCUGUUUAUAAAGGAGAAGAAAUUGAAACCCGGAGCCAGGAACGUCAAGAAACUGAAUCCGAUGACCAUACAAAGUUCACAAUUCUGAAACUGAAGCAGGAGCUCACCAAGCAUGGGUUUGGUGGACAACUGCUGCAGCUGAGGAAUCCUAACAAAAAGGAGAUUGUUGCUCUUUAUGAGAAGCAUGUCCUUCAAAAGUAGCUAUUUAUCAUGUAACCAUCUGGCGACUUACGAGAGCAUAAAAGCUGUGCAUGGUUUGUUCACAGGGUGUGGAAUCAUCUAAACUUGCGCAAAUUGCUCCAUAUACAGAUGUUCUGUAAUUACAGAGCCUUCUAUAUUUUAAGAAGUAUGCUUGUGUAUUCUCCCAGUUGGUUUCUGUGCAUCCGAAAGGGAAUAGUCUGUUGGUUUUAGUACAUAUUUUUUCCAUCUAUGGCCAUGUUAAAAUUUCAGCUAGUCCGGUUUGAUACAUGGAACAAUGACAUGAUCCGUGUAAAAAGAGGGUGCAUUGUCAGGGGAGAGAAGAUUCACCUUUGAAAUGAGAUUUAUAACAGCUUUCUCGCUCCCA